rnacentral:lncRNA from 1 species
GACCAGACUCGUCAUGCUGCCCCAGUACACACCUCAUAGACCCCUCGAGGGCCGUCAAAUACAGAAUUAACAAUUGCUCCUUCCACCGGAGGCAUCAGAAUCAGAGGUUCCUGCAACUUAUUCUUUUAUUUCUCAAUGCCCCUUGGCAAUCAUUAUUUCACCUGACCAUUUGAUCUUUUCUUUUCUUUUCUUUUUUUUAUUUCUUUUUUUUUAUUUUUUUAUUAUUAUUUUUUUAGCAGGAUCAACCUCGAUUCGUCUUUUACAAUGAACCCCAGCAGCUUACCGGACCGCACUCUGAAAGUGCACUUAUUUGAAUUCAACCUCAGUCUGAAUUGUCUCUACUGAUCCCACAACUUGACCAAGUCUACC